rnacentral:tRNA from 1 species
GCCUGCGUGGCUCAUUCGGUGAAGCAUCUGACUUCGGCUCAGGUCACGAUCUUUCGGUUUGUGGGUUCGAGCCCCGCGUCGGGCU